GUUUGAGAAUAUUGCUUUCUUCUUUCAGGGCUUUGGGAUUUUUUUUUUACCUUUUUUCCUCUACUUCAAAGCAUCAAAAACGUUAUAUGUAUGAGGAGACAUCCCUGGACCAGAUUCUAUUUACAGAUAUUUUGGGGGUGGCGGUAGAGAAAAAAGGGAAAAAAAAUCUUAAACUAAUCUUUGGUUACUCAUGUACAGCAAGUUCAAUUUGAAUGUGCAUGAAUUCAUGGCCUGUUCAUACCUUUGCUAAACAUGUCAAUUAUCAGCCAGUGUGCAGACUGGAGACUUUCACCCCAUAGAGGUGGAAGCAGGGUCAGGGCCAGAAAGGGGAGGGAGAGUGAGUGAGGGAGGCCAAGAAAAAGAGGAGACACAUUAAUAGAGACAACGAGACAGAGACAGAGGCACGCACAGUGCCAAAUGUCUCAGAAUGCAAAGAGGACCCUUCUGCAAAGCCAUUAAGUAAAAGACAAGUCACCUCUGAAUAAGUAUUUGGGCUUCAAGUAAUGCCACCUGUCACCUACUACAGCUGUGCCUCCUGAGGAAGGAUCACGCAGUUCUGAAGCGCAUGGGAGCUUCUGGAUCAAGCCCCCUGGAUUCAGAUCCAUAAUUUGCCACAUGCUCAUGCCACAUGUGACCUGGGCAGCUUAUUCACACUCUCCGUGUCUCUGUAUCCUCAGUCUCUGUAAAUGAAGCCCUGCUCAUGGAGUUGUCAGAAUGACUGAACACAGGGAAAGGGCUUAGAAAGGUGGCCGGCACAGUAAGGAGAGACUCCAUAAACAUCCGCUCCUGUUACACCUUAUUAUCGCACAAUAGUCUCUGAAGGAAAAUUGCAAAGAGGCUGAUACGCCAUUGGAGCCACCUUGAGCAUGUGCUCCUUUGCAUGGGGGCAUGAUUGCUCUUCCAACCCAUUCAGUGCCAUUGCUCCCCAGCUCCACGGCAGGGCUACUGAGGAAGGACAGGAGCUAACUGUCAGGGAAAAAAAUUGUACCUGCUAUGACCACAGAGGCUGCUGCAGAAUGUGCAGCCAGAGCUCUUUUCCAGAUGAGCAUCUAUCUGCAGAAAAGCUUAGUGUGCCUUUUCUUUAAAUACACCCGCUUUUUUCAUUGCCAAACACAGCACCCCCAAAGAAAGGACCAGGCAACUGCAGCUCCCAUUGCAUUUCUAGGGACCUUUGGGUGUUAGAGCAAUAAAAUGCCAUGGAUACCAGUCCUCUUUGCCUAAUCUUAAGAUGAUGUCAUUUGUCAUCUGCAAAUGCCCUCGUUGACUCAAGAUGAUGACAAUUAUACUGAUGAUGACGAUGACAGUGGUGACGUAAUGAUGAUGGUUAGCACUGACUGAGCACUCUUUGUGAGCUAGCACUUGUCUAAGUGCUUUACCUAGAUUCUCUCACUUCUCACAACCUCUCCAUGAGAUGGGUCACCUUUCCUAUACCCAUUUAUAUAGAGGAGGGACUGAGGUGCUGACAAGGUAGGUAUUUAGCCCAUGGUCACACAGCUAGUCACUCCAGAAUCUUCACGCUUAACCAUCAGAAUACGUUACGAUGAAAAUAGUUUAACAGAAAAAUCAUUGGUUCGGAAUCCAGGGAAUCCAGUUUCUGGUCCUGGUUCUACCCAACUAGCUUUUCAUCUGUUUAACCUUACCUGGUUUAAGUCACUUCACACCUUUGAUGUCUCCCUCUAAGACAGAGAAGCUUUUACAUCAGUUGUCUGCAAAGGUCUCUUCCAGAUCAACAAUUCAAUGGUUCUGUUUGUUCAUCUAGUAACUAAUAUGUGGGGAUUGAGCAUCUACUAUGUUAGAGGCACUGUAUGGGUCCUUAGACAAUAGGACUGAAGAACCAAUAGAUGUGUUUCCCACCUUUCUAGAGCUCACAGUCUAGCACAGGAAAUACACACCUGUUCUGUAACCCAUUUUCACAUGACCUGCCACUUCCCACUAAGUUAUAAGGGAUGGUAACUGGGUGAUCCAAAAAACAAAUCCUUGCUGACAUGGUACCUUGCUAAGGGUUACAUAAGCACACAAGUAAAUAUACAAUCACAAAUUUGCAUACGUGACCUAAAGGGCGAGUGCCAGGGUCCCACAAAAAAGAAUGACACGAAUGACCCAAUUUAGGUUAAGGGAUCUUUGGAGGAAAUGAUAUUUAAAAUAAGGACUGCAUGAUAGGUAGAGGUUGGUUAGUCCAAGUGUAGAGGAAAAGUAUUCCAGGUUGAAGGAUUAACACAUGCAAAAGGGCUGAGCAAUGAAAAAGACUAUGAAAUAUUCCAGGAACUGAGAAAAGGCAAUGUAGCUAAGACACAGUAGGUAGGGGAGAAAGGGGCACCAAAGAGAACUGAUGAGGCAGGCAAAGGCCAGUCACUGGUGUCUGUGUCCAUCCAAGUCCUGUAUCCUAAGGCUACAGGAGAAUUCUACUAAUUGCCACAGUAGGAGAGCCUUCCCUGUCCCCAGCUCCAAGGCCUCCACCUCAAGGAAACAAAGGUGAGUAUAGGGAUGAGGAAAAGAUACUAACUCUUCAGAAAACCCCAAGCCCCAUUAAUACUUUGAAAUUUAUCUACAUGAUUCUGUUCACCAAUAGGGACAUCCUGGGGGAAAUAAAGUCAAGAAAGAAAAAAUGAACAGCUACCUGGAUAAUUCAAGCAAAGUCUCCAAUGUUGCUUCAAAAUAGAUCUGAAUGAUCCAAAUAGAUGAUUAGACUUUCCAUUUCACUUCACCCACGUGGAUAGAACUAUAAAUCCAUUAUCAAUGGAUUAUGAGACAAUCUUGUGAAUAAAACUAUCAUCCACCAAGAACUUCUGGUGCACCUCUGAGGCAGCCCUGGCUAAGUGCUUUAGCUCAUCCUCUUUUAAGACUGGGAAAUAGUAAGUCUUUGACAAUUGUUUUUCUCAACCUUCCAGGUCUUUCUAAUAUCACUUCUUCCGAGAAGCCUUCUCUGAUUGCCCUUGCUAAACGUGAGAACUCACUCAUUUGACCACCUAUAGUUCUUACAUCACACCUGCAUAGGUGGCUGUCUUAUUCUGACUUGCACUGGAGGUAAACGCAUUGAGAACAGAGACAGACUUAGGAGCCAGUCAAGCUCUCCUUUCUGGCACCUGACACUGGGGCUGGCACAUAAGAGCCUCACUUUCCAUGCAUUUGAUUUAAUGGAUUUAAUCAUGAGUAGCCCUAACUCUCUUUCACUGCCUCAUAUGCCCCACAGUCGUCCCAACCAGACUGCCCUGGGCUCCUGACCAAUGGAUUCCAUCUGGCAGCACUGUUCCUUCGACCAUCUCUCAGCAUCCUCUUCCCAAACACACCUGUUCUGUAUCCCAUUUUCACAUGAUCUGCCACUUCCUGCUAAGCUAUAAGGGAUGGAAACUGGAUGAUCCAAUAAACAAAUCCUUGCUGACAUGGUACCUCGCUAAGGAUGUUCUCUCACAGGUGGCUUCAUACCAUAACGCAAUCAAAAAUGCCCAGAGUUGCAAAAGGCUUAUAAGAAUUAUGAACCCCUGGCCAGUUGUCCUCUGCUGCAGGACAGUCUUUGGAAAAAUCACAACACAUGAGUGGCUACCAAGUCCACUCAUGGAUACAACUGACCUAUAAAUCAUCUCAUGAAAACAAUAAAAAUAAUUAUCUCCAUUAUUUCCUGAACCCCUACUAACUCCCAGUUUCUAAUCCUCUCCAAACUCUGUAGAUUACGUUUACUAUUAGCCCCACUUCACAAAGGGGAAAACUUAGCCUCACAGAGGUAGUGACUUCUACAUGACAUGCAGGCAAAAUCCAAAUCCAGGACUCAGCCACAGGUCUCUAUAGCUUGGGUUGUUGCUCCUCCACCACCUAAUCCCUCUAGAAAUAAAUGAAAAUUACAGCCAGUGGCCAGCCCUCAUUCUCUUCUCAAGCUCAGCAUAUGUCCCUCUGCUGAUGGAGAGUAAUCAACAGCUCCAGCACCAAGAGGAAGAUCAGUCCAUCUUUCAUCAGAAAAAAGAGCUUCUCCAAAAAGAGCAAGAGAAUCUUUCAUGGUUCCAAACAAAAGGAUCCUUCAUGGUUCCCAAGCAAGAGGACCCUUCAUGGUUCUCAAGCAAGAAGAUCCUUCAGGAUUCCCAAACACCUCCCCUUCCAUAAAAUGGAGCCGUGCAGUGAUCCUCAGAUUCCAUGAGAUGAGCAGAGCCCACAGAUGGUAGGUGAAGACCGCAACGGCCCCUCUACUUGCAUUCAUGGUGGAUAACAGGCGGGGCUCCACAGUUGUCAACUCAAAUCCAUGACACUAAGAAGGCAUGAGAAAACCACAUGAAUAAAGAAUUGAGCUGUAUGUGUUCUCUGAGCAGAAGUUACAUCUCAUCUAAAUGGGGUCAACAUCAGCCUGAACAUGAAUGAGGGAAGGGAAAUAACAUCCCGUAGGCACCCAGUGCUGAGGAAGGCACUUUACAUACCUUAUCAUGGACCCACCUUCAGAGCGCAAUAUGAACUAGAGUCCUGUUGUGCAGAAAAGUAAACUGAGGCUCAGGGAGGUGAUUUGCAAGGGGUUACAUGGCUAGCAAAUGGCAGAUUUUGGACCCCUGCCUGGGUCUGUCUCACUCCUGGGCUGAUGCUUUUUCCAUUAUACGAUAAUGUCUUGCCUUUGCAUGCUUUCUGAACUCCAUUUGUUGUGAUUUUCAGCUGCUUGGAUGGAUUGUACACUUGGAAAUCCACCAAAAGCAGAUCCUACAUCUUUAGCAAUUCACGUAAACGCUAGGCCAAAUUCCAACCAUCUUUUUAACAAGAGAACUCUCCAGCCUGAGUAAUGGGGCUUAGAAAAAAAAAAAAAAGAAGAAGAAGAAAGAAAUAAAGAAAAGGAGAAGGAGAAAGGCAAAAAGUAAUUCCACCUCGCAGAGGAGGCCUGUGGGAUUUGGAGGGUGUGGGUGGCCGAAGCUGGCACCGAUAUAAUCUCAGCCCAUCAUGGGAACAAUGAGGCUAUAACUCUGACUUCUGAAGAAUGCCAUUCAUUCAUUCAACAAUUAUUUUUGAGUGCCUCAUUUGAACAUGGCAAAGCACUGUGGGAGUGACAAAGAAGCAAAAAGCUUAGCCCAACCCAUAGGGAGGACACAACAUUCUCAUUCAGAGUUCUCAAGGAAAGAGAGAGAAAAAAAAAUGGACAACUGUACCAAGGAGAAUUCAAUUUUUCAGACACACCUAGACAGACACCACUGACAUGAAACUAUCCCCUGCUUCUAAGCUUAUGUGUUUGGUCCACCGUUCCACUAGUAUUUCUUCCUCUUUUUCCUGUUCUUUCAUAUUUGUCUAGUCCUAGUUCCUUGCCUCUCCAGUGCGAUGGGCACUACAGUGGGAAAAAGCCUGUCCUGAAGACAAAAGAACUAUGUACCAUCCCAGCUCUACAACCUUCUAGCUAUGUGACCUUGCACCAGUCUUCAUGCCUCUCUUGGCCUUUGCUCAUUGGUGAGAGAAACAUAAUGAUCCCUAGCUCAAGUGUUAUGUAAAGGAUUAACUGGAAUAAUCAUAUGUGAAAGUCCUUUGAAAAGGGCUUUUCUAGCAGCCUUCUAGAAAGAUAUACAUUUUUACCACCAAUAUUAAAAUUUAUUAGAUUAUUAUGUUAAUGGUUAAUAUUUGGCUCGUCAGAAAACCCUGCCAAUUGGCCAUUAUUCCUUUUAGUUUUCCUUGGGCAAAGCCUGGCUAAGGAAAAGAGAAAAGCAAGACAAAGAACACUACUUUGUGAAUUCCUCCCCAAAAGGACAGCAUUGUAAGUCUGCCGUGAAUAAAGAGUGUAAAUUAUAUUCAGCAUGAUAUAAGUAAUGACAUAUCAAUUAACUGUGUCAACAAGGUCUAAAAAUAUGCAAAUUACUGUACUUCAAUUAGAAAAAUCUACAUCCUUAGAGAAUAUUGUAAAUCAGGAAAUUUGGGAGACAUUAAGAGUAAUCAGUGAGGGAAAGCAUGUACUUUUUGCCGUAUCCUAUUUUUAUACAUACAUAAUGAAAUAAUUAUAGCUACACUGUAUUUAUGCCUCUGCAAAAAUAUUAAAAUCUUAAGAUCUUUACAAUGAUAAGUUAAAUCUGUAUUAUGUUUUCAGACAACAUUAAUUAUAAGAAAAAGAAAUCUAUUAUCAUUCAAUAUAAGUAAGUUGAAACUAAUUUGGACAUGUAAAUUAGAAAUGCUGUUUUUCUGAGCACCAGAACAUUAGGAAAGAGAAAGAAAGAAGAGAUAUCUAGAUCAAUUACUAAAUCUAUAAAAGCAAAAGCUUCCGCGGAUUUAAGUUGUAAUGCAAAUUUUAGAGCGGUUAGUGACUUUUCUCAAAAUUAUCAAACUAUCUGGUUUUUCGCUUUUUUAAAGGCCUUCCUGGUUUUCUCUGUUUAAAAUGCGUUAAACUCCCUGUUUGGGAUGUAGGUCCCUUGACCCGAGCUGUCCCUUAAUGGUAACUCCUAAAGAAAGAGCAAGAGGGGGAUCCCUGGGUGGCGCAGCGGUUUGGCGCCUGCCUUUGGCCCAGGGCGCGAUCCUGGAGACCCGGGAUCGAAUCCCACGUCGGGCUCCCGGUGCAUGGAGCCUGCUUCUCCCUCUGCCUAUGUCUCUGUCUCUCUCUCUCUCUCUCUCUCUCAUAAAUUAAUUAAUUAAUUAAUUAAUUAAUUAAAAAACAAAAACAAAAAAACAGCAAGAGGCAAAGCUGGGAAUGUAUAAGGUGAGGCCAGUUUUCAGUGACUGAGAUUUCCAGCACAGUAACAGAGGAGAGGUACCUUUGCUCUGAAAUGCAGUUACCAUCAAUUCUGAAGAUGCCAGAGGGAUGCGCCAGAAAGGGAACAGCAGCAGCCUACCUCUCCCCAGCCUUCCAGGGAAGUGCCUUCCAGCCAGCAAUGUCCUACAAGGCAGCUCCCCAGAAACUGAUCUGUAUUACCCUUACUAUUUGCUGGCUAUACGAGGCUGCACGGGGAGCCGAAAUUCAGCCUCCAGAGUGAUUCUUCCCAAAGAAGUGUUCCACACCCUGCCUCCUCCCUGCAUACGUAUUUCAGGACCCAGAGUUCAACAGCAUCUUUUAUAAAAUCAAUCCCAACUACUCCAGACUGAGUCAGUCCCUGCCUGAGCUUUAUGAAGCGUAGGGCUUUCUGACUCUUAGGCUGUCCACCCAGGCUAGGGGCUCCGAGAGGGCAGGCAGGGUGCCCCUUGCCUGCUUGUGUCCACAAAGUGGACACUCAAUCAACAUGACACUGAUAAGCAAAAGAAAAGAAGAAAGACCAUAGACUGGGUGCCUUUCGACUAGAAAAUGUAUUUUCUUAGUGCUAAGUACGCAAACUUCUGUUAAAGCAGCAGCACUGACUCAACCCUUUCUUCUUCUUUUUUCUUAAGAUUUUGUUUAUUUAAUCAUGAGAGACACAGAGAGAGAGGCAGAGACACAGAGAGAGGGAGAAGCAGGCUCCCUGCGGGACUCGAUCCGGAGACUCCAGGAUCACACCCUGAGCCCAAGGCAGAUGCUGAACCACGGAGCCUCCCAGGGGCCCCAACUCAAUCCUUUCUUUGAUUAAUCCAAUUAAAGAACCAGAGCUAGAGCCAGUUUAAUGCAAAACAGAGAAAUAGAUGAGGUAUGCCUUUAUCUCCCUCGCCAUCCCUCUUCUACUCUCCAACCCCCCGCCCCCACCAACGCCCAUGACAUUUCCACUGUCUCCAUGCUCUCUUCUUCGCCUGCCUCAUCCAGGUCUGCUUCUCUGGAAAACAUCUGAUAAGACUGCUUACAAUAAGUG
rnacentral:lncRNA from 1 species